rnacentral:rRNA from 1 species
CGGAGAGUUUGAUCCUGGCUCAGAACGAACGUUGGCGGCGUGGAUUAGGCAUGCAAGUCGAACGGGGUGCCAGAGCUUGCUCUGGUUACCUAGUGGCGAACGGGUGAGUAACGCGUGGGAGACCUGCCCCCGAGUUGGGGAUAACACUUCUAACGAGGUGCUAAUACCGAAUAAGACCACGAAGUCGCAUGGCUUUGCGGUCAAAGAUGGCCUCUGCUUGCAAGCUAUCACUUGGGGAUGGUCCCGCGUCCCAUUAGCUUGAUGGUGGGGUAACGGCCCACCAUGGCAACGAUGGGUAGCUGGUCUGAGAGGAUGGUCAGCCACACUGGGACUGAGAUACGGCCCAGACUCCUACGGGAGGCAGCAGUCGAGAAGCUUCGGCAAUGGACGAAAGUCUGACCGAGCGACGCCGCGUGAGCGAUGAAGGCCCUAGUGGUCGUAAAGCUCUGUCAGGAG